rnacentral:rRNA from 1 species
AGAGUUGAUUCUGGCUCAGAUUGAACGCUGGCGGCGUGCCUAACACAUGCAAGUCGAACGAGAAAGUCCCUCGGGGGCGAGUACAGUGGCGCACGGGUGAGUAACGCGUGGAUAAUCUACCCAAAGGUCUGGAAUAACAGUUGGAAACGACUGAUAAUACCGGAUGUACUGGCAACGGGAAAGGUGGCCUCUGCUUGCAAGCUACUGCCUUUGGAUGAGUCCGCGUCUCAUUAGCUAGACGGUAGGGUAACGGCCUACCGUGGCAACGAUGAGUAGCAGGCCUGAGAGGGUGGCCUGCCACACUGGGACUGGAACACGGCCCAGACUCCUACGGGAGGCAGCAGUGGGGAAUAUUGCGCAAUGGGGGAAACCCUGACGCAGCGACGCCGCGUGGAGGAAUGAAGGCUUUCGGGUCGUAAACUCCUGUCAAGAGGGAAGAAACCUGUGAAGAGUAAUAUGCUUCGCAAUUGACGGUACCUCUAGAGGAAGCACCGGCUAAUUCCGUGCCAGCCGCCGC